CGGACAUGGAAGACUCCGCAUAACUGUCUUACGAAAGCGGAGUCGGACACGGACAGCGCCUCAGAAGAUGAAGACCUGCCACCAUUGCUGAGUCGCCGAGACAAAGGAAUGUUCGGCUGAUGAUCUUUAAACCCGAUGUGCUGACUUUCUGAAAGACUUCAGCACCAAUGCGACAACCUGGAGAAAAUUACAAGGACACAUAGCCAGAGUUUACUGUGAAAAAUACUCUGUUAAAACAGAGCCACCGCUACUACACCCAAGUUCAAUUUCAGAUGUAUGUUUGUAAAAAAAAAAAAAUGUUCUGCGACUUUGUUGUGUUUACACACGGAGGUGUUCAUGUGCAAACAACAAAGUAUGAUCAUGCUUUUGUACAGGAGCUAGUUUCAAAAUGUAUGUCUUUUGCAGUAGAUGAACUUGUGCCAGUCAUCAUCCAGCAGAAGUUUACAAGUUGAGAUUUUGUAUCUUGUUGGAAAGUUAAGAAAUAAAAGCAACAUACAAACUU